UACGUAGGGGGCAAGCGUUGUCCGGAUUCAUUGGGCGUAAAGAGCGUGUAGGCGGCCAGGUAGGUCGGUUGUGAAAACUGGAGGCUCAACCUUCAGAGGUCGACCGAAACCAUCUGGCUAGAGUCCGGGAGAGGAGAGUGGAAUUCCUGGUGUAGCGGUGAAAUGCGCAGAUAUCGGGAAGAACACCCGUGGCUAAGGCGGCUCUCUAGUACGGUACUGACGCUGAGACGCGAAAGCGUGGGGAGCGAACAGG
rnacentral:rRNA from 1 species